rnacentral:rRNA from 1 species
AGUAAAUAGAUACCCGGGUAGUCCACGCCGUAAACGAUGAUAACUAGCUGUCGGGGCCCAUAGGGUUUCGGUGGCGCAGCUAAACGCAUUAAGUUAUCCGCCUGGGGAGUACGGCCGCAAGGUUAAAACUCAAAGAAAUUGACGGGGGCCUGCACAAGCGGUGGAGCAUGUGGUUUAAUUCGAAAGCAACGCGCAGAACCUUACCAGCGUUUGACAUCCUCAUCGCGGGUUCCAGAGAUGGAUCCCUUCAGUUCGGCUGGAUGAGUGACAGGUGCUGCAUGGCUGUCGUCAGCUCGUGUCGUGAGAUGUUGGGUUAAGUCCCGCAACGAGCGCAACCCUCGUCCUUAGUUGCCAUCAUUUAGUUGGGCACUCUAAGGAAACCGCCGGUGAUAAGCCGGAGGAAGUGGGGAUGACGUCAAGUCCUCAUGGCCCUUACGCGCUGGGCUACACACGUGCUACAAUGGCGGUGACAGUGGGCAGCAAACCCGCGAGGGUGAGCUAAUCUCAAAAAGCCGUCUCAGUUCGGAUUGUUCU